rnacentral:rRNA from 1 species
AUGCACACCACGCGCUCGACGGAACUAAAACGCCGGAUCAUCAUCAUCCACUACAAGAAAAAGCUCACCAUUUUCCUGAAGCUAGACAUUAGGAAGGCUUUCGAUUCAGUUGGGUGGGGAUAUUUGAUGGAGGUUCUAUCUGCUUUUGGUUUUGGGUAGCGAUGGAGGGAUCUUCUAUCCAUCAUUUUGCGCUCCACAACUUCCAGGAUCCUUCUCAACGGCUCCACCGGAACUCCUUUUGAUCACAUGUGUGGGUUGCGGCAGGGGGACCCAUUAUCUCCAAUGCUGUUCAUUCUUGCUAUGGAACCGCUGCAGCGCUUGUUUGAUUUGGCCACGGACCAUGGGGUGCUAACCCCUCUCGCACCCAAGGCUGCCAGGCUACGUACUAGCAUGUAUGCCGACGAUGCCGCGUUAUUCAUCAACCCCCAGAAGAAUGAGAUCUCUGCUGUCCGUGCUAUCCUGGAGCGCUUUGGUGAGGCAUCUGGCCUGAAGAUCAAUGCUACCAAAUGUGUGGCCUACCCUAUCAGAUGUGAGGGCUUGGAUAUUGACAACAUCAUCGGAGAUUUUUUUUGGGGGGGGGGGGGCGUGCCGCUACCUCGGCUUGCGGCUUGGCCUUCGUAA